CUUUUAUUUUAAUAUAAUAAAAAAUAAUUAUAAAAUUUAUAAGAAUAGAAUGUAAUUUUAUUUUAUUUUAUAGAUUUCGGUUUACAACUAAUUUAUAAUAAUUUUAUAUUACUAAUUACGAAAUUAUUCAAUUUAUUAAUUUAAAAAGUAUUUAAAUUUUUAGUGAUAUUUUGUUAGAUUUUUCUCAAUAGAUUUAUAAUGAAAUAUCUUUAUAAUUAUUAAGAUUUUUUAGAAAUGUUAUAUAUUCAAUAGAUUAAUGUAGAUAAUUAAGUAGAUGUAAUUAAUGAAAUGUGCCUAUUAUGAUUUUUUAUGGUAGAUAAAAUUUGUAUUUAUCUUUUAAUAGAGAAUGAUAGAUUCAAAAGCAUUUAAAACAUAAAAAAACAUCAAAUUGGUAUACGACUGACUCUGAUAUAAAUUUAGUUUUGAAUGAUAAUAAUAUUAGUUGUGAACAGUGGCAGAGGCAAUUAAAGAUCAUGUGGGUCAUUUGACCCAUAUCAAUUUUAAGAAUUAAUCAAAUUUAAGCAUAAAUAUAUAAUAUAUCUUGAUUAAUUGGUUAAGUUUCAGUAGUUUGAUCUCCUUAAUAUCUAUCCAAUUUCAUAUAUAUAAACUUUUGACCCCGUUGAUUUAUUUUCCUAGCUCCGCCACUGGUUGUGAAGAAGUGUUAAGUAAUGCAUAAUAUAAAGAAGGAGUGUAAUAUGAGGCAUACAACAAUGUCCAAUAGAACAAUGGUUUUGUUGAUGAUAUUAGCAAAUAAUUCAUAAAGAAAAACGACAUGGUAUAAUUAGUUAGAUUGAUGAUAUUAGUCGUUGAUUUCACAGUGAAUAGAUUAUAUAUGAUUUCAGGAAUAAAUAAGAACAUUAAAUUUGUUUUGAAUAAAAAUCUAUCGUUAGGAUAUUAUUAGAAAAAUAUAAAUAUAUAUUUAAUAAAUUAUCUAAGAGAUGAUCCAAAUGCGCAGGGUGCACUCCUAGCUUCUCCAUUUCAUUCGUUUAUAAAGGGAUGUGCAUGCAAAUCACUUAAUUAGCUGGAUGAGCCUACGUCAAUUUCAUUUGGCAUGGGCCUUAUGUGCCAAGUGUCUCUUUGAGCGACAAUAUUAUAUGCAAAAGCAGAUAAGACCGCGUAUAUUCUUACCUAUUGGUUUUUAUAACUUUAUAUUCUAGAAGCCAUCCACGUGAUAGUAUUGAUGUAUAUAUGCACUGCAUUUAUAUAAUUUUUCAGGUAACUUGGAUACUGUCAUAUUUUAUGAAGAGAAUUUGCACUCCAUUUUCACUCCAAAAUUACAAGAAAAUAUACUUCAGAGUGAAUAUUAUAACCAGGAUCGGCUUAGGUAUAGGGGCAAGGGAAACAUGGACCUUGAGCCCAAAUUUGUUUUUGCAUAAUUAGUAUUAAAAAGAAUCUGAUUUUUACAAAAAUUAAGAAAAGAGAUCUAACUUUUUUAAAUUAUCCAUAAAAUAUAUGCAAUUUUUUUUGAGAAACUAUUUUGUGAAGGACCUAUAAUUUACUUGAGCCGGUCCUGAAUAUAAUGUACUAGAAAGUAAUUCAACUAAGAGGUUAAAAUAGACACUGUGGGAGUAAUUAUCCGGCUGUGAAUAAUUAUGUUCACCUUAAUGCCUUGGUGAAAAUUAGAGUUAAGCACGUUGUGGACUUUCUAUGUUAAUAUAUUGUUCAGUUGACUUUACAUAAUUGUAAGCAUGUUUGGUUAAAAAAAAAACUAAAAAGUAUGAGAAUAUUUGUUACAUUGAAACCCAAAGCGUAGAGUUUCUAGAAUGGGUCUUUGUCCUUAGUUUUAUAUUUUAGGGCAAUUUUCUUUCAUUUGGAUUUUUUUGUUGUGACCGUUUGGUGGACUCGUUCAUAAAAUAUCUUAUCUUAUAUAUAUAUAUAUAAUAUAAAUAUAAAGUAGAGUUGUGUUCUGCACACAGCCCUCCACCUCAUCAAGGAGAUAUGGGCAAAUCGUGCUACGGCAGCAUAUCUUUUUUAAAGUUUUCUGCUGUGUGUUUUGUUAUUAGAGCAUCACUCGAGAGUAAUGAUAAUGGGCUUUGCGUAAACAUUUAACGGCCCAAAUAGAACUAACCUAAUUCGACAUUCUCGACCACGUCAAGUGUGCUGAUUCUCUCCUUUCUGCAGAAGCUUCUCCGUUCCACAUCCUCUUCCCAUUGAUGUCUCUAAGAAACGUAUGUAGUUAUGCCUUUCAAUCCAUGAUGUCCUAUUUGUAGACUGUGUGUUCCGGUUAAUAUCAUCUUUCCGUUUGCACAAGAUCACUGAAACCCAAACACGCUCACAGUUUACUCAUGAAAUGGCGAAUCAGCAACUGUAAUCGUCUUCGUUUCUGGGAAGCUCCGAAUUUAAAGCAAUGAGAAGAACUCACUGGUGUUGAUAUGAUUUUUGUCAAUGGAAAGUCAAGCAUGAUUCGAGGGUUUAUCAAUGUCCACCGACUCAACUCCUACAUACAUAUCCUAAUAGAAGGAUUUUUUUAUGAAUUACGAGCUUAGCCUGUUUGCUGUUACUAGGAACAGCCAAAGCUUCAUAUUCGAUGAUGCCCAUGUACCUAUUUGAUUCACUGAUCGGAAAAAAAUUGGAAGAGUUGGCAGACAACUUGCAGGUGUGUUUCAUUUACCAGUUUUCAAACCCCUUUACUCGAACAUUUCAGGAUCUUCGUUUGACUUCCUAAGCUAUUAAGGCUUUAUAGAUCCAACAGCCUGCAAAUAUUUCUUAUUAACAUAAACCAAAUCGCAACCACUAAACCCCACAGUGUUAGACCAAAAUAUUAAUAAUAUCGUAAACAACGACAAGAACAAUGAUAUUCAAAACUCAGUUGUACAGUAAGUUACGCACUAACUACACUGUUUGAUAAAAGUACAUACAUGGUGGUAUAAUAAUAGUUUCAGGAUGGUCACAUCAAAUGCAAGCCAAACGAACUAGGGAGUAGGCCUCCACGUUUAAAACACUCGGAUAAACUCACUGCUAUUCGUGACGUAAACAUGCCCCCACACUUCCUUCACUUAUGCACGUACCAUUACUCAUUAAAAGUAAAAAAAAAAAGAGUUUCCAUCAAGUUAAAGCUCCUCAUCCAGCAAUGGUGAAGAAGACACCCGAUGAAAACAAGAACAUAAUAGUGAAGAAUAAGUAACCAAUGAAUAGAAUGAGGCGGUCGUUCCUUAACAACUACUCUCUAUCAUGCAUCGGUAAAGAAUGUAUCUGUCAAUCCAAAAUUCAUAUCAUAUUCAUCCUUAACAAGUACGCUCUAUCAUUCUCUUUCAACAUAUAUGCAUCUUCGUUUAUUUGAAAAUAUUUUAUUUACUAAAAUCAUAAAAUUAAUUUAAAAUUCAUCAAAAUAUAAAAUAUACAAACUUACGCGCCCGGAAUACCACUAGUUAACAGUAUAAGUAAUCUUUGACUAGCUAGUGCCUUUGUAUCACGGAUUGAUGAUGACCGUUGACACAUUGGUCAGAAUUCAUUAGUGUCUUUCAUCUACCGGACGUUGACAUAUUGGUCACAAUUCAUUAGUGUCUUUCAUCUACCUAAAAUGACAGUUGGUUAGGGGGUAAACGACAUUAGUUUUUUUUUUUUUAUCAAUGACAUUAGUGUAUAUAUAUAAUAAGAAAAGAGGAAGAAGCAAUGAGUGAAUAACUUAAAAGACAAGGAAUAAGGUAAAUAAUCUUGAUCCAUAAAACUUGUAAUUUGAAAUCUUAAUCAUGCUAAUUGCUACUCUUUCAUUUUGAAUCAGUGUGGACGAAGAUACGAACUGGAAGGUAAAAUGAUUCUUUUUUCUUUAAUAUAGCGUAUUUUGAAUUUUAUCUUCUUCUUUUUUUGAGUUGUGAUUUUAAAUCUUUGUAGAAUGGCUGAGUGGAAGAAUAAUACUCUGAAUGCUAUUGAAGCAAUCAAAUUGAAUCUUGAUGGUCUUUCCCAUAUUACGGAAAACACUAUGAGCCAUGGACCCCUGAACGAGAUGUUUACUAAUGUGGAGGUGUCGAUCUAUCACUUAAACGAAAUUCUCCAAGCCGCCGGGGUCAACAUUCCGAUUGAAGAUGAUAGCGAUGAAGAUUGAUGUUUAGAGAUAAUUAUAUUUGACAGUUUGGUUUAAAGUUAUGUUAUUAGACAAAUAAACUUUUAUUUGUUAUGUUUAGUUGCUUAUGAGACGAGUACAUAUGGAAAUAAACUUUUAUUUGUUAUGUUUCGUAAUCACCUGACUGACUGAAACCUCCUUCCUCCUCCUUCCUCGAAACCCAGCGUCCAAUCUCAUCGAGAAUCAUGACUCAACCAUAAAAGGAGGCACCUUGAUUGAGAAUCCCGUCGAAAGGAAUGAACUUUCGGGGGAAGGAGGGAGGCUGUUUACGCAAGACCCGCCAAAAAUGGUUGAUCAGACUUUGAAAAUCAGAGAGGAAAGAUAUCUACAAGAGAAACUUGGAUGGAGAAGGAGAUGUGCGAGAAGAAUCUGGCUCCCAACUUGCCUUAUGUGAAACUUGGGUUGUGUUUGAAAGUUGUUAGAGAAGGAAGAACAAGAGCAAAAAGGUGCUUAUGCGCCGCCCCCACAUUGAUACGUUUGACUAGAGAAGAAGAAAUGAGCUUAGAGAAAGGGCAUUCUCUAAGAUGUGAUGUUGAGCUCAAGCUUUCUGGAAGAUAUCCCUCUUGUUAGCUAUCAACAUUUUGUUCCGUCUUCACUUGCUAGCAAAGAUAUAUACAGUAGACUGAAUAUAAUAAGUUCAAUCUUGACUUCAGGGGUCGUGCAUACCCCAAUGCAUCCUCAUCUGAGUUCUGAUCUUUGCCGUGGAGUUUGCUCAAGGACGUCCAUUUGGAAAGUCAGGCUUGUAUUGGCUGAAAGUACAUUUAGCAAACCUCUACGCAGGUGGGCGUCUUGCUUACCAUUUGAAUGAUACAAUAGAUUCUGCUGAAAACGAUGGUCGUUGAAGGCUGAGGAUCCUUUUCAGGGCUCAUUCUGGCACAAGCCUUGAAAAGCCCCUUCACCUUAUUCUGUAAUCUCCAACUUGCCUAUUGUAUUAACCUAGCUCUAGACUUUCCUUUUUUGUUUGUUACUAGACAAUUGGUUUCUGUUGGAGACUCUAGUUUGAGAAAUUGGGUUUCACUCUUUGCAUUGAACUGUGAAACAACGCUAGUAACGUUUUCUAUUCAUUCUGCGGCUCUGAAUAGAAAACCAGCUGAUGAUGUCUAUUCUGAAAUUUCAUAAUUUGUUUAUUCGAGUUAGAAUCAUGCCAUGCAUGGUUUCUAAUGAGUUUCCUCUUUGUCACUCUCUUGUGCUGGCAUACGGUCCAUGAAAUAAUGAAGAAGGAAGGACAGCAGUAAGGAUCACCUGAGUCAAACCCAACCGCUGCAUUGGCAAAGAUCCAAGUGUACAAUUCUGGUUCUGGUCUAAGAGUCUGGUUAAGUCCGGUUAUUGUACGUCUUUGAAAGUAAAAAGGACAGACACAUACAAAGUAUAUGUGAUGUUAAUCUUGUUAACACUUUCGUCAUUGUUGUAUACGGUUGAGUUUUAUUUUAGGGCAAGUCUCUUUCAUUUGGAUUUUUUGUUAUGCCGUUAGGUGGACACGUUCAUAAACUAUUAACAAUUUUUUUAUUAGAUUUAAGUAAUAUUUUGACUAGCUAACCGAUUGAUGAUGACCUUACGCUGACCAAAAAAAAAAGUAGUCCUUUUACUAGCAUAUGAUUGCCAUUGGUUAUGACUUAUGACUCAGAAAUAUCAAAGAACUGAUCACCUUAUCUGAGAUUGCGAUGAUUCAUUGUGGUUAGUGACAAAUUUUUAGGUUAAACCGUUGUUGCUUUAUGUAUUUUUUGUAUACAAAAUCCAUCAUUCCACAUUUUUUUUGUUAAUCAGAACAUUUCAAAUCUUGGACACGUAAUCUGUAUAGCCUCUGAGUAUGCCCCAUCUAUUAAGUGGAGAGAAACCAUAAUUAAAAAAAAUCUGAUGACAAAACUUUCUUCGCGAAAAUACCAUAAGUAGGGUUUUAUAUUAACGCAUGGAAUGUAUUAGUAAACUGCGACAAUAAGCAGUGAUUUUUUUGUCACAAUUCAUUAAUGUCUUUCAUCUACUUCAAUUUUAGAGUCCGUUAGUUAGGUGGUAAACGACAUCAGUAACUAGCACGUAAGUUGACCAAAAAAUAGUUUUUACUAGCACGUUUAAUAUCUUUCAUCUAGGUAAACGACAUUAGUAUUUUUUUUUUUUUUGAUCAAUGAGAUUAGUGUAUAUAUAUUAUAAGAAAAGAAGAAGAAGCAACGACUCAGGAACUUAAAAGAGAAGGAAUAAGUCUUUAUAUCUCAUCUGGAAGAAGAUACCAGCUCGAAGCAUGGAACAGUUGAUGCAAGAAGCUUUUGGGUUGAUAGUUGAUGUACGAAUCAACAUGGGAUAUCUACUGGAUUUUGCGGAAACGACGGUGAGUUUGGCCCCCUUGACACGUAUGAGGGAGGAAACUAUAGAUACAGCUUUUUCACAUGCAAACUCUAUCCGAGCAUUGGCGUUGAAGGCAGAAGCGUCGCAUUUACAAGUAGACAUUACUAUAUAUCUAGAACAUAUGUUGAGUUUCAUGGUGAACACAGUGAGCAUCGCACCCCUGACCCGUUUGAACGAGUCAACUAUGGUCAGAGCUUUGGAACUUGCAAACUCUAUCCAAGAUAUUCACCUUGAUGACAAUCUUGGUGAUGGUAUGGUUGACAAUUAUUAGUAUUAGAAUUUGGUUGGUUGAGUCUAGAUCAAGUAAACAUGUCUUAUCUGGUGUUGUGUUACCAUAAUAUAUGUCUAUUUCAAAGCUGAAAAUAUAUCAUAUUUGUCACAGAUAUUCGAGCGAUUAACCAAGUGAGAUUAUGUUAAUUUUAGUGAAUUGCAAUCAAGAAAAGAUCUAAAUAUUUUGUUGAAAGGUGAUUUUUAAGGAAUAUACUGUAAAGACAGAUGUUACAUAUUUGUUUUGAAUGCAAACACAUACAAAAUGUAAUCUUUCAAAAAUACACAUACGUACAUACCUCCGAACCUCUACGAGUGCCUGUCGCCUCGUCAUUCUCAUUGCCCCCUAGUAGGGGUCCUUCUGAAUUUUUUAAAAUGGCCCAAUCAUAAGAAAAUAGACAGAAUUCUCUGGAGGAAGAAGUUGCAAAUCAAAACACACCUACCUCUGUCUGUCUUCUUGUUUUUGCAAUGUCAAAAGGGCAAGCAUAGUAGCAGCUACAAAACCAGCUGAAAAGUUUGCACCGAGAACACCAAGAGCGUUUGUAUCACUGCAUUCACUGAAUUGUAGAAAGAGAAAAGAAGAACAAGAGGUCUAGUCCAGACAGCUCAACUGAUGCUCAGGAAGAUGGAACCAUGACAAAAGAUGAAGAGAAGAAGGAUGAUGUGCAUCAAAUGUAUUAUUAGUUCAUGAGUCUCUGAAUCUGAUUUGAGUCAGUAAUAAGUCGGAUACAUCAUUCACAAUAAUAAAUGAAAUUGAAUUUAUCUAUACAGAGAUACAGAAGAGUUGGAUCACUUAGCUCUCUACCUAUAACUCUUAUCGUUUCUCUUAAAUUGUGUAUGACAAAAGAAUACUAGUAUCAUGUAAAAUCUGUAGUGUACGUUAGCUCCUCUCUCACAGCUACAUUGGCCUGAGCGACCAGAACAAUCCUGCUUUCCUCAUCUCCUACGUGCGCUCAUUAUCCUUGCAUGGCAAUUCGGCGUACACUGCACCACGCAUCUUUGAGUUUAGUGUUUAAGGAGUCUCUAAAUUUAUUAACAAUACGUAAGAAGUUCCAUCCCUGGUCCAUGAUCUCUGCAUCUUUCGAUUUCGUUUCGUGACUAGAUUACUUCAUAUACUCGUUCUUGUACUUCUCUCUGGUGAUCUUUUAUUUCAUUUAACAUAGAUAGUUCCAGUGAGAACAGAGCAAAGUUACUUGUCCCACAAGAAAUGUUGACAACUUAACUACUUGAGGUUUUUGAUUCCGGUUGUUCGGAUUAACUUUUUCCGCGUAUUCACACGUAAGCUAUUUCUCUAACUGAUUUGCAGAGUCUACAGACCAAAUAAAUUAGUUCUAUUACUUACAAUCUUUAAUUAGUAAUCAAGUGAAACCAAUCCCAUUGAUUGGAUCAUUUUCGCUACGUAUGACCCAUAUAUCCGUGCUUGCUUUGAAAGAUAGUUAGAAACGGAUUAUUUGUUGAAUCAAACUAGUUAUCAGUAUUAUAAGAUAUGUGGCCAAUCUAGUUACCAUUUUGUUUGACCAAUGUUGUAGUUUGAUAUGUGACCAAUGUUCCGCGUAUAAACAAAAUUCAUUUAUCUUACUAGGGCUGGGCAAAUAAACCGAACCCGAAAAUUCGAACCGAACCCGAUUCGAUAAAAAUGAAUCCGAACCGAUCCAAACCCGGCAUAAAUACUGAAUGGAUCUUGUUUUAUGGUAUUUUGGGUUAUGGGUAUUAUCCGAAACGAACCCGAACUUAGAUGGAUACCCGAUAGAACCCGAAACAUUCAAAAUUUCCAAAAAUAACUUGUACCAAACAUGAUCUCAAUUCCUAAUAUGUAUUCAAAAUAUAUUGAACAUCUAAAAUAAUUAUCUAUUAUCUAUUAUAUGAAGAUUGAUGGUUGAAGGUGGCAGUUGAAGGUUGAAGUUUUUAGAUUUUGUUUUUGUUUUCAUUGAAUAUGUUUUUCAUUUCAUGCGAACUUGGUUUUCAUUUUAUCUUUUCAUUUAUUUGGUUUUAUUUCGAUCAAUAACUAUGUUUACCUUUCACUUGAUUUUGAUUGAUCACAUUUGAUGUUUCUUUCUUUUUUUUUUGAACCGAUUUUAUUUAUGUUUUGGUUACAAAAUAGGUAUAAAUCAAGUAUUUUAAAACCAAAGAACCGAUUUUACUUACUUUUUGGUUAUAAAGUAGAUAUAAAUCAGGUACAUUAAACCGAUGAAACGAUUGAGACCCAAACCCGAAAGUACAUCGGGUUGUACCGGUUCUUUGAAGAUUUACUAAUCCCAACCCGAACCUGAUAAAACCCGAACCGGUCCCGAACCAAAUUUUCAUAUAACCCGAAUGAAGUUGAUUUUAAUAAACCCGAAAAAUCAAAACCCGACUAGACUAAACCAAAACCCGAUUGGGACCCGAAUGCACAAUCCAGUUUGUGAUCUUACAAUGAAUUUUGCUUGAGUAAUUGUCAUUUGUUAUUGGUUAAUCCAGUUUUCAUUAAGCAUAAGAUUAAAUAACAGCUAUGUGAGAACAAAAAAAACUUAAGUGGAUAUGAGCUUGGCCGUUUGGGCAAAGCAUUUUUUAUGUUCUUUUAGAUAUAUAAAAAACUAAAAUAUAAUGUGAAGAGGACUGCUAUGACGAGGCUGAGAGUGAAUAUGAUGAGCUUUAUGAGUACAUGGAUUAGAGCUUCUCGAACUUCCUUUUUUCCACGUUCGUCUUCAUCAUCGGUGGCGGAGGCAUGACGGCGACCCAUUGUUUUUUUAGAUCAACGAUGAUGUAUUUAUAUAGGCCCGCUAACAAGAAUUUAUAACAACCGGUUAACAAAAAGAAAAAAAUGUAGCAAGCCUAGUCGACUGACGGCAACUAGUUUUAUGUACCAUUUUAGUUGGCUAAAGUUUAUAAGAGAAAAAUGACUCUAAAAUUAAAGACUAAGAUUUAUUUGUGUUUCUAUCAUUACCAUUUCAGCGGUACGAUUCAUUAGUCACUCGUUGCACACUAUAAUGAUCUUAUGCAACUGAAAUAAAUAAAAACCAAUGAAUUGCUUAAGUGAAUGACAAUUCAAAAGCGAUGCUAUCGAUGAAACGCUAAAAACACAAAAUUAGUUCAUAAUUAGUAUUUGUGGUUAUUUACUUUCAUUUUUUCCAAUGAAAUUUGAAUAUAAAUUUGGGUUCGAUGUUCAAAUCCCUUAGUGUUCAAAGCUUCAGAUCUUUAUUCUGCAUUUCUCUGAUUUUAAAUAUUUAAAACAUGGUAGUUUUGAUAAUUUACACACAACUACAUGUUGAUUACAAAAUUUUUUGAUGUUGUGUUUUUUCGAUUUAGUCGUCGUGAGAACCUAACCUUUGAGAAUGGUCUUGCUAAACAAGCCCUUAGGGGUAUUGUAUCGAACCAAGUUUAACCGAUUAAUGAAUUUUCUCUGUGAACAAAAAAAUCAAAUAAAGAAAUGACAAUUUCUAUUGUUUAAUGAAUCUCUUACCAUAUUCUUUGAUUUAAAUAUUUUGAAAAGUAUUCAUUUUUCUUCAAAUUAUUUUGCUUUUUAAACUACAUGGUACUUAAUUGAUUUCAUCCCAUAAUACUAGUUUAAAGGGGUUUUAUUCGAUCAUGUAUUUUAAUAGAAUUUAAAUCUAAACACAAAUCACUAUUAUUCGAAUGAUAAUUCUAAAUUCUAUUUUAAAAUCUAAUGUUAUUAAAUGAAUAAUUUAAAUCAAGUGUUUAGAAUCUAAUGUUAUUUAAUUUUUAAAGAUUUUUAAAUUUUUAAAAUUGAUUUUAAAUCAUCUUUUAUGGAAUCUCAUGAACAUAUGAUUAAACUCAAAAACCAAAACAUCGCUGAGAUUUUAGAAUUCGUCAACUUUUGGAGCCUUUUGCACGGGUGAGAGCCUUUUGGAUUUGACUUUGGAGGAAUGCAUUCGCAUUCGUAGAGACGACCAACAUACUUAGACCAGCUCUAUUGGGGAGUUUUAAAGAGAUAUUUUUUUUUUAAAAGGCCAAAAAAUAAAUCAGAAAAUAGGAAAAAUUAUAGAAAGGGGUCUUAGAAAGGGAUUUUAAGAGCUGCUAAACACCCUUUACGUGUCUCCUCUUCCUUCGAUCUCUGUCUCUCUCUUUCCUGUCUCUCUCUUCCCUGUCUCUUUCUUCGACUCUUCGUCGAUCAAUGCCAACCAAUCUCCAUCACCAUCAAAGUCUAUGAUCUGAAUCCAAUUACGCGCUCUUCGAUCUCGCUAAAGACAGGAAAGAAGACAGAGCUGCCGGCUCUUCACAUUGAGAAUAUGUGGUGUAGUUUAGUUGUUGUUUCUGUUCUCAUCACAAUCUGUGUUUUAAUGUUUUGUUUUUGUUCUCAUCACAAUUUGUGUGUUUAAUCUUCUGUUUCUGUUGAAACAUUGAGUUUUAACUGAUAUGCAUUGUAUUCAUCAGUGAUCCUUGUGUUGCAAUGUUUGUAUGAACUGAUAAACGUUUGCAUUUCAAUUGUUUAUGUUCUGA